CACAGCAGGACAGUACACAUCAGGACAGUACACAGCAGGACAGAACACAGCAGGACAGUACACAGCAGGACAGAACACAGCAGGUCAGAACACAGCAGGACAGUACACAUCAGGACAGUACACAGCAGGACAGUACACAGCAGGACAGUACACAUCAGGACAGUACACAGCAGGACAGAACACAGCAGGACAGUACACAGCAGGACAGAACACAGCAGGUCAGAACACAGCAGGACAGUACACAGCAGGACAGCACACAGGAAAGUACACAGCAGGACAGAACACAGCAGGACAGUACACAGCAGGAAAGUACACAGCAGGGCAGUACACAGCAGGACAGUACACAGCAGGACAGUACACAGCAGGAAAGUACACAGCAGGGCAGUACACAGCAGGACAGCACACAGCAGGACAGUACACAGCAGGACAGUACACAGCAAGACAGCCCACAGCAGGAC
rnacentral:lncRNA from 1 species